rnacentral:snRNA from 1 species
GCGACCUAUACCCGGCCG